GACGAACGCUGGCGGCGUGCUUAACACAUGCAAGUCGAACGAGCGGCGGACGGGUGAGUAAUGUAUGGGGAUCUGCCCGAUAGAGGGGGAUAACUACUGGAAACGGUGGCUAAUACCGCAUACUAUCGGAUGAACCCAUCUGGGAUUAGCUAGUAGGUGGGGUAAAGGCUCACCUAGGCGACGAUCUCUAGCUGGUCUGAGAGGAUGAUCAGCAACACUGGGACUGAGACACGGCCCAGACUCGUACGGGAGGCAGCAGUGGGGAAUAUUGCACAAUGGGCUCAAGCCUGAUGCAGCCAUGCCGCGUGUAUGAAGAAGGCCUUAGGGUUGUAAAGGACUUUCAGCGGGGAGGCGUUACCCGCAGAAGAAGCACCGGCUAACUCCGUGCCAGCAGCCGCGGUAAUUC
rnacentral:rRNA from 1 species